AUACUUACCUGGACUGGGUCUAUGGGCGAUCAAGAAGGUUCAUGUCCUAGGUUUGCGACUUUCAUUGCACUUUGAUUGUGCGCACGCCUAAGGUCAGCCCAUUGUGGUUCAGCCUAUGUCAUAAUUUGUGGUAGAGGGGCUGCGUUCGCGCAGCCCUAC